UGGGGCGUCGCCAAGCGGUAAGGCAGCGGUUUUUGGUACCGCCAUCCCAGGUUCGAAUCCUGGCGCCCCAGCCA
rnacentral:tRNA from 2 species